CGUGUAGGCGGCUCAUCAAGUCUGGUGUGAAAUCGCAGGGCUUAACCCUGCAUAGGCGCUGGAAACUGGUGGGCUUGAGUUCUUGAGGGGAAGCUGGAAUUCCAGGUGUAGGGGUGAAAUCUGUAGAUAUCUGGAAGAACACCGGUGGCGAAGGCGAGCUUCCAUCAGAGGACUGACGCUGAGGCGCGAAAGCGUGGGGAGCAAACAGGAUUAGAUACCCUGGUAGUCCACGCUGUAAACGAUGUGCACUAGGCGUGGGGCACGUACGUGUUCUGUGCCGUAGUUAACGUGAUAAGUGCACCGCCUGGGGAGUAUGCUCGCAAGGGUGAA
rnacentral:rRNA from 1 species